AUGGGAGGAAUAAAUGUCAAUACUAUUUGGAGAAACAUUUGGAAAUUAUCUUGUCCAGCAAAAGUGAAGAUUUUUAUUUGGCGUACCUUACACGGAACCCUCCCGUGUCGUGUUACACUUGCUAAUAGACAUAUGAAAGUUUCGUCCACCUGCCCAUCAUGUUCGAACGGGCCUGAAGAUACUAAACACUUGUUAUUUAUGUGUCAAAAGGCAAAAGAGGUGUGGGAGAAGCUGGGAUUGCACGAAGCCAUUAAAAAAGCUUGUGUGGUCGAUCGUGCGGGAGAGGCAGUACUCGAAUUUUUACUUCUUAUGCCAGAACACGGGCUAUCUAUAGUGGGCAUACAGAAUGUUCGCGAACUGGUCGCUAUAACAACCUGGUAUUUAUGGUGGAAAAGACGUUUGCUAGUCCAUCAGGGGAAGACCCAAGAUGCAUACCAAAUUUCGAUGGGAGCACAUGCUAUAACGGCAAACUAUGUUAUUGCCGAAUCCUCCGGGGCAACGAAGAGAACAGAGGGAUGGACGAGACCUCCUCUAGGUUUUGUGAAAUUAAAUGUCGAUGAUUCGUUCGAUCAAGACAUGCUUAGAGGCACAGCAGGAGCUGUACUUAGAGAUGAUAAAGGAAGAUUUAUUGUUGGAGGGAAUUGGAAGAUGGAUUGGUGCGCAGAUGUUUUAACAGCGGAAGCCAUGGCACUACGUUUUGGCAUAUUACUUGCACAAAAGGCGGGAAGCAACUGACUUGUUGUUAACUCCGGCAAUUUGGAAGUAAUUGACACAAUGAAGAAUGGAGGACAUACAGCGGGAGCGGCGGCGGCUGUGUUUGAUGAUUGUUAUUUAUGGCUUGUGAUUUUUCGUUAG
rnacentral:rRNA from 1 species